GGUCUGGGAUGGGCUCGCGGCCUAUCAGCUUGUUGGUGAGGUAAUGGCUCACCAAGGCGUCGACGGGUAGCCGGCCUGAGAGGGUGACCGGCCACACUGGGACUGAGACACGGCCCAGACUCCUACGGGAGGCAGCAGUGGGGAAUAUUGCACAAUGGGCGAAAGCCUGAUGCAGCAACGCCGCGUGAGGGAUGACGGCCUUCGGGUUGUAAACCUCUUUUAGCAGGGAAGAAGCGAAAGUGACGGUACCUGCAGAAAAAGCGCCGGCUAACUACGUGCCAGCAGCCGCGGUAAUACGUAGGGCGCAAGCGUUAUCCGGAAUUAUUGGGCGUAAAGAGCUCGUAGGCGGUUUGUCGCGUCUGCUGUGAAAUCCCGAGGCUCAACCUCGGGCCUGCAGUGGGUACGGGCAGACUAGAGUGCGGUAGGGGAGAUUGGAAUUCCUGGUGUAGCGGUGGAAUGCGCAGAUAUCAGGAGGAACACCGAUGGCGAAGGCAGAUCUCUGGGCCGUAACUGACGCUGAGGAGCGAAAGGGUGGGGAGCAAACAGGCUUAGAUACCCUGGUAGUCCACCCCGUAAACGUUGGGAACUAGUUGUGGGGACCAUUCCACGGUUUCCGUGACGCAGC
rnacentral:rRNA from 1 species